UCUUGUAUAAAAAGCCCUGUGAUAAGGAUAAUCACAAAUGUGUAAAAUUAGCUUUUCUGUUGUUUUGUUCUAAUUUCCUGUGUUAUGUAAUUUAAAAGCCUUUUCUGGAUUGUAAAAUAUGGUUUUGGUAAUUGAAACGUAAACUAGCAAUGACAUUUGACUUUCUCUGUCAAGAUUAUUUAUUUUUAUUUAUAGUGUUGUUUUAACAUGUUUCUGUAUUUUCCAUGUUUAUGAUAUUCUGGAAUGACUAAAGAUCAGCACAGAGUUCUUGUGGAUGGACCUCAGCAAGUCCUUCUGCAGUUGUAUCCAUCAAAGUGCUAUGCAGACACAAUGGGAAUGACUGUCACAUUGUAGAGCUUAGACAAAUUUACACAGGUUCUCAAGAGGAAUUCAUCAAGGACAAGUCUGUUAGUAUUAUAGUUGUUGGGUGACCAAAAUGAGCAGUGAUGUGGUCCCGGUAAUAGAAGAAGAAAUCUUGUUUAUCUGCAGUUGUAACACCCAUCUCAUGAAUUGAGGUGACAUGGGCAUCUUGAUUGUGACUGAGGAGGAGGAAUGGGAGGUGCUUCCAAAAUAAACCAAUGACGUUGCUAUCAUUUUGGAAGACCGUCUUGUCGCCAUCGAUAUCUGUGACGUCCCGAAAGCAUUUGUGCUCCUGAUGGGUCGUCUUUACAUCAUUAACAAAACACAGUACAGUUCUGAUGUUCUCAAAACUUUGCAUGAACAUUGGUGGGAGUAACUGUUCUUCACGUGUUUACGGGCUACGAAACAUGCUACUCUGCAA